UGAUGUGGGAGUGAUUUCUUAUUAAUAAAAAAACUGCCUAGGCCCCUUGAUAAGGCCCACCCUUAGGUGGGUGGAGAAAACAGGAGAAUUCUGGGAGAAGGAGUCUUGGUGGGGAGUCGCCAUGGUUCUCCCGUUCCAGACAGACGCAGGUUAAGAUCCUCCCUGGGCUGCCCGUUUUCUUCACUUGAGUUGGGGGGAGAGUGAAGAGCUACACAAAUGACGUGCUCUCCAAGACCUUAAAGAAGAAUAAGAGUGAGAGACCUUGGAACACUCUGCCUUAAAUGGGAUGUCUCCAUCACAUCCCUUCCCUCCAAGCUCACGGAACCCCUUGGAAGAGGAGGGAGAAAGAGUUUGAGAGCCAUUGAGGAUGGAGAACAUCAAGGAAAAAAGGUCCUCUGAAUCAACAUGAGCAAACUUCAUAUGAGCUCAUAGAAACUGAAGCAGCAUGCAGGGCCUCCUUGGAUCUGUGCCAGGUCCUUCAUGUAUAUAUCAUGGCUUCUAGUUUAGUGUUUUUAUAGGAUCCCUGGAUGUGAGAAUGAGAGGAUUUCUGAUUCUUGUGUUUUUUCUUGGGCUCUUUUCUUUCUGUUUGUUUGUCUUGUCUAAUUUAGAUGUGAUAGCUUUUGUUUUAUCUUAUUAUAUUUUAUUUUGUUAUAUUUGUAAAAAUGAAUGAAAACAUAGCUACUAGAAUAAAGGUUAGUGACUGAAUUGUUGUCUGUUGUACCUGCUGGGAGAAGGAAUAAAAUCAGUUUUUUCCAAUGACACCGAGUAUAUUAACCACUCCAGGGCAGGCUUCAUGUUCAGGAAUAGUUUUGGUUAACAUAUAAUGAACCCCACAGGUAUUUUUGUUUGCUUUUAUUUGAUUAUAAUUUGUUGGUUUUGUUUUUGCUUUCUU